UGGGGAUCCCGGGGGAAGAGGCAGGCAGACCCAGCUGGUCAGUGGAGAGAUAAACCCCACAGAGGCAGUGAGGUCUCUCGCCAUCCAGGACUGGGCCUAGCCUGCACUUGUCGUUAGUAAAUACUCGUGGAAUUGCUGAGAACCAGAGAUGUGCAGCAGCGUGCUCAGGGUCACACAGCAUGCCAUAGGGGGAGGUGUGCAAAGUCAGCUGCCUGGGGCCCUGCAGGACAGCAAAGUGGAGCAGCCUCCUGCUCAGCUCUGCUCCAAGGAAGCUUUCUGCCCACCUCUGACUUCCUCUCUGAGGAGCCAAGUGAGACUCCUAGGUCUGAGGUCCCAUGUCCCGUAGUCAGUCACCUUGGCAGAACAGAUGAUCUCAGGUGGGGUCUGCCCCAGUGCACAGGGAAGCCCAGAGAGGGCAUGGUCCCCCCCAAGGUCACACAGCACUCCCAGGGACCCUCCCAGGCUGCGCUGAUGGCAGCCGAUUAGGCAGCCAAUUGGUAUUCUGGGCAGCCAGAAGCCCGUCUCUGUCUCUGUAAUUAAUGGAGUGGCUUUUUAAAAGGAUUCUAAUCACCCCCGAUCCUAUCUGAUUAUCACUAGCAUCCCUAAUUAGAUGAUCCUGGCAGUCACUCCGCUAAUUCUCCUCAGCCCCGAGCAGCCCUGCCCGGCCUGGGACAGUCUACCCCACCCCCGCAGCCCGCCCGGCCCAGCCAGAUGGGCAGCCCAGCCUGGGCCUUCUCUGCCCUCAGGGCCCCUGGUUCUCUAACUACAUUACCUUCAGGAUGGAUGGGUGACAGGGAUGGAUGGCUAGGCCCUGGGUGGACAGCGGCAGGUGAGGGGAGAGGCUGGAUGAUGGACAGCUCCUGAGGUGGAUGGACAAACAGAGCGAAAGACUCACUGCUCAGCCCCUGCAAGCAGUGUGUUCUCAGGGGAGGCAUUCGACUGCUCUGUGCCUCGCCUCUCUCUGUGGAGUGGGGGUAGUGAUGGUAUCUUCCUUGCAGGGUGGCUGGGGGCACAGCUUAAACAGGGAAAGAGUUGGGGAUACCUGCUUGCUGGUGUGACGAUGACAGUAUUGACAGUGGG